AAUAGAUACCCAGGUAGUCCUGGCCCUAAACGAUGUCGACUAGAUCGUAGUGCCUCUGACGGCAUUACGGUCGAAGCAAAAGUGCUAAGUCGACCGCCUGGGAAGUACGGUCGCAAGGCUAAAACUCAAAGGAAUUGACGGGGGGCCCGCACAAGCGGCGGAGCAUGCGGAUUAAUUCGAUGCAACGCGAAGAACCUUACCAAGGCUUGACAUGGGCCGGACCGGGCUGGAGACAGUCCUUCCCUUCGGGGCCGGUUCACAGGUGGUGCAUGGUUGUCGUCAGCUCGUGUCGUGAGAUGUUGGGUUAAGUCCCUUAACGAGCGAAACCUUUGCCUUUAGUUACCAGCGGGUUAUGCCGGGGACUCUAAGGGGACUGCCGGUGUCAAACCGGAGGAAGGUGGAGAUGACGUCAAGUCCUCAUGGCCUUUAUGCCCAGGGGCCACACACGUGCUACAAUGGCGUCCACAAAGCGAACCAAGAGCGCAAGCUGGUGGAAAUCGCAGAAAUGACGCCCCAGUUCAGAUCGGAGGCUGCAACUCGCCUCCGU
rnacentral:rRNA from 1 species